GCCAGUGUGGCCUAGUGAUUUGAGUGUUGGGCUAAGACUCUGGAGACCAGGGUUCAAUUCCCAGCUCUCCCA
rnacentral:tRNA from 1 species